rnacentral:rRNA from 1 species
AGCAGCCGCGGUAAUUCCAGCUCCAAUAGCGUAUAUUAAAGUUGUUGCAGUUAAAAAGCUCGUAGUUGAAUUUCGGGGUUAGUAGGUUGGUCAUGCCUCUGGUAUGUACUGGUCUCACUGAUUCCUCCUUCCUGAUGAACCUUAAUGCCAUUAAUUUGGUGUUUUGGGGAAUUUGGACUGUUACUUUAAAAAAAUUAGAGUGUUUAAAGCAAGCUAACGCUUGAAUACAUUAGCAUGGAAUAAUGAAAUAGGACGUUCGAUCCUAUUUUGUUGGUUUCUAGGAUUGACGUAAUGAUUAAUAGGGAUAGUUGGGGGCAUUAGUAUUCAAUUGUCAGAGGUGAAAUUCUUGGAUUUAUUGAAGACUAACUACUGCGAAAGCAUUUGCCAAGGAUGUUUUCAUUAAUCAAGAACGAAAGUUAGGGGAUCGAAGACGAUCAGAUACCGUCGUAGUCUUAACCAUAAACUAUGCCGACUAGGGAUCGGAUGAUGUUAAUUUUUUAAUGACUCAUUCGGCGCCUUA